rnacentral:ncRNA from 2 species
UUUUGUUGAGACGAUGUAGAUAGUUGUUGAGCGUGUUCACUUAAAAGGGAAGUUCGGUAGAUUCCGACACGGACCCGCCACUGUAAACAGGCAUCAGCAGGGUACUGCUGGAGCUUUCAGAAUAGCCACUGGAACUGUGAGGAACCGGGAAGGCCUGAAAGAUAAGCCUGGAGUCAGGAGACCUGCCUGUUUUGACAUCACUGU